rnacentral:miRNA from 1 species
GGGAGAAGGGUCGGGGC